CAGACAGCAGCCCCAAAACAACCCGACUCUCCAGGAUUACUGCAGAGAAAGCCAGGGAAGCCAAAGCUACGGUCCAGGGCUGGGGGGAACCAGUGCUGGGCUAUUUUGAUGCUUACUAUGAAGACCACAUCCAACCAGUGACCGGCAGCUAUGCUGAAUGGGCCUCUAAUGUCAAAAGCUCUGUGUGGGAGAAGAUCCAGACAACCAUUGACAACUACAGGCCACUGAAAGGGACUAAUUCAACUGAUCAACCCUCUCAAAGCUAAAGCAGAGCUGAAAAUAAAUAAAUAUUCUUACCACAUGA